rnacentral:rRNA from 1 species
UCUUAUGUACAUGCCUUAAUGCAACGAAUCCCAUUAGAACUCCGCAUUUAAGUGCGCUCGGGCUAGAUUAGUACUGGGAUGGGUGACCGCCCAGGAAGUCCUAGUAUUUUAUAUGCC